rnacentral:lncRNA from 1 species
AACCAGAAUUUAUAGAAAGAUUAACAGAUUCCCUAGGUGUAGCUAAAAGUGCAUUAUCUUUUUGAUUAAAAGAUAGGACCUCAGCUAUAGAAAAGGGUUGGUUUUGACCUAUUGCAAUCAACUCCGGACACAGAUCAUAAUUAGGGGCAGGACUUGUUGACUCCCAUGGCCUAUGGCUGGUCUCUGAAGGUGCAAAAAAUUCAAUAAUAGGUGUAGAAUUUAAGUUAUCCAUAAAGAUGGAAAAAAUAAAAAGAUAAAAGAAUAAAUGUAUAAAAGUAUGAUACAAGAUAAUAGCAAGACUUAAAGUUAUCUCAGCAAACCAUCUUUCUCCCC